GUGUUAUUUGGAAGAUGGAGCUUCAAAGGGUGCCUGGCUGAACCGGUCAAGUAUUAUUUUUGCGGGAGGUGAUAAGUGGUCAGUGGAUCCUCGAGUUUCAAUUUCAACAUUGAAUAAAAGGGACUACAGCCUCCAGAUACAGAAUGUAGAUGUGACAGAUGAUGGCCCAUACACGUGUUCUGUUCAGACUCAACAUACACCCAGAACAAUGCAGGUGCAUCUAACUGUGCAAGUUCCUCCUAAGAUAUAUGACAUCUCAAAUGAUAUGACCGUCAAUGAAGGAACCAACGUCACUCUUACUUGUUUGGCCACUGGGAAACCAGAGCCUUCCAUUUCUUGGCGACACAUCUCCCCAUCAGCAAAACCAUUUGAAAAUGGACAAUAUUUGGACAUUUAUGGAAUUACAAGGGACCAGGCUGGGGAAUAUGAAUGCAGUGCGGAAAAUGAUGUGUCAUUCCCAGAUGUGAGGAAAGUAAAAGUUGUUGUCAACUGUAAGUGUCAUCACCUUUUAUCAAGAUAAGUUCUGAGAAAAGAUAAAACACCUUGAAAAAUU
rnacentral:sRNA from 1 species